rnacentral:sRNA from 2 species
CCGCUUCUUUAUGUCCAUAUCCGUGCUCCUUCCACCAAGCCGAACAUAAUUCAUUUCGAACAACGCAACAUGGCGAAGCAACUGGUCCAGUGCGUGAUUUGUCUGAGCCGCGAUGAUAAUGGGUGGAUCAGUGAAGGGUAUGGUUGCAAGGAGCAACCUCAAUGCAAUGACGGAGACAUGAGUUUUGCCGGUUCCCGGCGGACCUUGUACGAUAGCCAAUCUUUUCGUGAGAAUUUGGCGUAGCGCAUUCCACUGAGAAGAAUCCAGAGACUCAGGAGGAGGUGGCCAGUUGUUAAGAACAUCCACUUUUUCACCCUCUUCACCGAUAGCAGACAUGUCAAUGAACGGAUUCAGCUUGAUGUACUCGGGGGGUUCAAUAUUAGGCUGAAGACCACACAAGUAUUCCGAGAAGGGGAAGCUUUUAAAAUA